rnacentral:rRNA from 1 species
GAUUGGUCAAGCUAAAAAGAGCGCAAGGGGAAUGCCUUGGCAUCAGGAGCCGACGAAGGACGUGACAAGCUGCGAUAAGCCACGGGGAGGAGCAAAUAUCCAUUAAUCCGUGGAUUUCCGAAUGGGGCAACCCGGCUGGACAAUAUCCAGUCAUCCUGCAUUGAAUCAAAUAGGUGUAGGAAGGGAACCGCCUGAACUGAAACAUCUAAGUAGGGCGAGGAAGAGACAUCAACAGAGAUUCCGCAAGUAGUGGCGAGCGAACGCGGAGUAGGCCAAACCGGAGGAUUUAUUCUCCGGGGUUGCGGACCGGCACAACGGUCAGAUAGGUUAGUCGAAUGGCCUGGGAAGGCCAUCCAUAGAGGGUGAGAGACCCGUAGACGAAAACUGAAUCUGAUUAGCCGAGAUCCAGAGUACCGCUGGACACGUGAAACCCGGCGGGAAACAGGGGGGACCACCCUCCAAGCCUAAAUACUACCUGAUGACCGAUAGAGGAGCAGUACCGUGAGGGAAAGGUGAAAAGGACCCCGGGAGGGGAGUGAAAGAGAACCUGAAACCUUGUGCUUACAAGCAGUCAAAGCACGUUAAUGUGUGAUGGCGUACUUUUUGUAGAACGGUCCGGCGAGUUAUAGUAACGAGCAAGCUUAAGGUGUUCAGCACUGGAGGCGAAGCGAGAGCGAGUCUGAAUAGGGCGCGU